ensembl:lncRNA
UCAAGAAGGGCAAAAACUAACAAAGUUGAGAUGCUUUAUAUGAGUGGGCAAUAAACCACAUGUAGUGCUUGCGUGAAGUGGCGCACCCUAAAUUUAAAUAGGAAUUUAGAACAUAUAUACAGACAUAUUUUUUUACAGUGCUUUUAUGCUACGUGCACUGACUCUAUACCAUUUAUGUGUCUCCAUUUUCUUCAGUCUUGAUGGAGAGACAAACUGGAAGUCUCCAGGAAUGUGUUGUUUUCCAUGGCGUUCUACUCAGAGUCCUUGUCAGAGCAGAUUUUACCUGGAUUGUUUGUGAACGGUAAGCUGAAACGUGACUUUGCAGGGAAUGUAAGCUUCUUCAAAUUUAUGCUUCUUUACUUGACUGGAUUUCUUUGUUCUUAGAAUAGUUUCACUGUAAGUGUUCAGAGGAAACUUGAAAGUAAUUUUUUUUUCUGAAGAAAGGAGGUAUUUGCUUAAAAAAAAAAAAGCUCCAGUCAAAUUAAUUUCCAAGGCCAGUAAAUAUGCAAAUAGAUUUUUCCAGCAUCGUUUGUUCAUAAGGAAAGUAAAGUUCCUGUGGUUAAGCCCCAGGUAUGAUUCUGAGAUCCAGAUUUAGCUGCUGAUUUUCUAACAAUUACUGUAAUUACUCUGAUACAACAGGACAAACUCGUUCAUUUCAUGUGUGUCCCAGAUCUUCAAAUUGGGAUCCCUGCUCAAAUAAGUGUUCCUGGGACCACAGUUCUGCAGAAGGGUGUCUGACUUUUACCUGCCAAACAAACAAAGUGAAGUCUCAGCCUAUCUGAUGUGAAGUUUUCAACUUUGUCCUUUGGAAGCCAGCUAUAAUAAGCUCCACGAACCUUUAUCUUUGAAUUAAGUUCAAAGGUGAUCAGAAGCUGUUUGUAUAACAUCUGCAAGUGUGGGAUUUACACCCUGAAGAAAAGAAUAUUUGAUAUGUAUUUUGUUAUGGAAGUUACGUUAAAGGUGCAAGUAACACAUAACAAAGAUCAGAGCACUGCUAAGCAGCCUUUGAACAGCUUAAAACCCAGAAGAGUGAUUGUUGAGACUAAGCUACACAAUGAGCAUUGCCCACAGUAACUUGAAAAUUG